rnacentral:rRNA from 1 species
AACGCUAGCUACAGGCUUAACACAUGCAAGUCGAGGGGCAUCAGGAACAAAGCUUGCUUUGUUUGCUGGCGACCGGCGCACGGGUGAGUAACGCGUAUCCGACCUACCCAUAACUCGGGCACAGCCGCUCGAAAGAGCGAUUGAUUCCCGAUAUGUCCUUGGAGUAGAUUCAAUGAUGAAAGAUUUAUCGGUUAUGGAUGGGGAUGCGUAAGAUUAGGUAGUAGGCGGGGUAACGGCCCACCUAGCCGACGAUCUUUAGGGGUUCUGAGAGGAAGGUCCCCCACACUGGUACUGAGACACGGACCAGACUCCUACGGGAGGCAGCGGUGAGGAAUAUUGGUCAAUGGGCGGAAGCCUGAACCAGCCAAGUAGCGUGAAGGAUUACAGCCCUACGGGUUUUAAACUUCUUUUAUAUAAGAGUAAUGUGCACUACGUGUAGUGUAUUGCAAGUAUUAUAUGAAUAAGCAUCGGCUAACUCCGUGCCAGCAGCCGCGGUAAUACGGAGGAUGCGAGCGUUAUCCGGAUUUAUUGGGUUUAAAGGGAGCGUAGGCGGGAUAUUAAGUCAGUCGUCAAAGCCUGUGGCUCAACCACAGCCCGCGAUUGAUACUGGUAACCUUGAGUGCGGAUGAGGUGGAUGGAAUUCGUGGUGUAGCGGUGAAAUGCUUAGAUAUCACGAAGAACUCCGAUUG